rnacentral:rRNA from 1 species
UUCUAUGGCCAUGCCACCCUGAAUGAGCCCUAUCCCUUCUGAUCUCAGAAGCUAAGCAGGGUUGGGCCUGGUUAGUACUUGGAAGGGAGACCACCUAGGAAGACCAGGUGCUGUAGGCA